rnacentral:ncRNA from 1 species
CAAAGGCUUGGUCCUGGCCUUACUAUCAGCUUUGGUUAAACUUACACAUGCAAGUAUCCGCACUCCUGUGAGGACGCCCUAACAGUUUUCCUAGCCAGAAAACAAGGAGCUGGUAUCAGGCACAAGCUAUCUUAGCCCAUGACACCCUGCUUCGCCACCCCUUCAAAGGAAUUCAGCAGUGAUAAAUAUUAAGCAAUAAGUGAAAGCUUGACUUAGUCACAAGCAUAUUAUAAGGGCCGGUAAAACUCGUGCCAGCUACCGCGGUUAGACGAGAGGCUCAAGUUGAUAGUCCAACGGCGUAAAGCGUGGUUAAGAUAAGUAUAAAACUAAAGUCGAACAAUUUCAUAGCUGUUAUACGCUCAUGAAGACAUGAAGUCCACUAACGAAAGUUACUUUAAAUGAUCUGACCCCACGAAAGCUGUGAUACAAACUGGGAUUAGAUACCCCACUAUGCACAGUCGUAAACUUAGGUACUAUUUUACUUUGUACCCGCCCGGACACUACGAGCAAAAGCUUAAAACCCAAAGGACUUGGCGGUGCUUUAGACCCGCCUAGAGGAGCCUGUCCUAGAACCGAUAGUCCCCGUUAAACCUCACCCAUUCUUGUCAUUUUCCGCCUAUAUACCGCCGUCGUCAGCUUACCCUGUGAAGGUCACUAACGUAGACAAAAUUGGCCUAGCCCAAAACGUCAGGUCGAGGUGUAGCGAAUGAAUGGGGAAGAGAUGGGCUACAUUUCCUGACCUCAGGAAAUUACGGAAUAUGCCAUGAAAAAUGCAUAUGAAGGAGGAUUUAGCAGUAAGUAGAAAAUAGCGUGUUCUGCUGAAGCUGGCCCUGAAGUGCGCACAUACCGCCCGUCACUCUCCCCAAGCCCACCUACCACAUUAAUUAAAAACUAAUCAUUGCUAUAGGGGAGGCAAGUCGUAACAUGGUAAGUGUACCGGAAGGUGCACUUGGACAAAU